rnacentral:rRNA from 1 species
AACGCUGGCGGCGUGCUUAACACAUGCAAGUCAACGGGGAUUACGGGAUUGAGAGCUUCGGCAGGAUAUCGUGUAAUUCGAGUGGCGGACGGGUGAGUAACGCGUGAGCAAUCUGUCCCAGACAGGGGAAUAACACUUGGAAACAGGUGCUAAUACCGCAUAAGACCACGAGGCGGCAUCGCCAUGGGGUAAAAGGUGCAAACCGGUUUGGGGUGAGCUCGCGUCCGAUUAGAUAGUUGGUGAGGUAACGGCCCACCAAGUCAACGAUCGGUAGCCGACCUGAGAGGGUGAACGGCCACAUUAGAACUGAGAGACGGUCCAAACUCCUACGGGAGGCAGCAGUGGGGAAUAUUGGGCAAUGGGCGAAAAAGCCUGACCCAGCAACGCCGCGUGAGUGAAGAAGGCUUUCGGGUUGUAAAGCUCUGUUAUAGGGGACGAAGGAAGUGACGGUACCCUAUAAGGAAGCCCCGGCUAACUACGUGCCAGCAGCUGC